rnacentral:snoRNA from 1 species
GUGUACAUUUCAUUAUCUUUUUUUCUUUAUAUCAAGAAAAAAGUAUUUCUGGUGCUAAACAAACCUUUGGAGGUAAAUUAGCAGCAAGACUAAUUCAGCCACUGCUGUCAGUCACCUUCAUACAAAU